rnacentral:rRNA from 1 species
UACGUAGGGGGCGAGCGUUGUCCGGAAUGAUUGGGCGUAAAGGGCGCGUAGGCGGCCUGUUAAGUCCGAAGUGAAAGUCCUGUUUUUAAGAUGGGAAUUGCUUUGGAUACUGAUGGGCUUGAGUGCAGGAGAGGUAAUUGGAAUUCCCAGUAUAGCGGUGAAAUGCGUAGAGAUUGGGAGGAACACCAGUGGCGAAGGCGACUUACUGGACUGUAACUGACGCUGAGGCGCGAAAGUGUGGGGAGCGAAC